rnacentral:lncRNA from 1 species
AGGACUUCUGUGCUAACAAUGUUUGCGAGCUGCGGUGGAUUCAGGUUUUGUUGAAACUGUCAACAGGGCAAGAGGUGAAUGCAGCAAAUCGUAAGGAGAAGACCUGAAUGAGGCAAGUGGCCACUCACCUUGUACCUGGGUCCCAAAUCCCCAGAGGCUCCAGGCUCAGCAACAGAUGCUCACAAUGAUGGCAACUGCUGAAGUUGAUGGGUAAUGAUUU